rnacentral:rRNA from 1 species
AUUGAACGCUGGCGGCAUGCCUUACACAUGCAAGUCGAACGGCAGCACGGGAGCAAUCCUGGUGGCGAGUGGCGAACGGGUGAGUAAUAUAUCGGAACGUGCCCGGUCGUGGGGAUAACGUAGCGAAAGCUACGCUAAUACCGCAUACGAUCUACGGAUGAAAGCGGGGGAUCGCAAGACCUCGCGCGAUUGGAGCGGCCGAUAUCAGAUUAGGUAGUUGGUGAGGUAAAGGCUCACCAAGCCGACGAUCUGUAGCUGGUCUGAGAGGACGACCAGCCACACUGGGACUGAGACACGGCCCAGACUCCUACGGGAGGCAGCAGUGGGGGAAUUUUGGACAAAUGGGCGCAAGCCUGAUCCAGCAAUGCCGCGUGCAGGAUGAAGGCCUCGGUUGUAACU